rnacentral:rRNA from 1 species
GAAGCGAAUGGAGUUAGCAAUUCGCCCUGCCAGAUUCAGCUGCUCGUGCUUCGCGACGUGCGCGCUCUCGAUCCGCAUGGACGAGACGUGUGCGGGCGCGGCGCUCGGACGGCGCACUUCUGACGGGCGAGCGUCAGCGUCGGUUGUCGACGGGCGACAAGGAUGCAAGGAAGGUGGACCGGCCCUCGGGACGGUUGUUAAGCCUUGCGCUCGUAUAGCUCGACGGCGACCGUGGCUCGAAGAGGCGACGCGUGCCUGGCUGGCGACUCGGACGAUCGGUCUGGCAUGUCGACUGUGGCGGACGGCACGCCUGUGCGCUCGAACUGCUGCCGGUCGAUCGUGCGAUGUUCGCACACUACGCGUCGAAGAUGCUGACGACCAUACGGCUCCAUCCGACCCGUCUUGAAACACGGACCAAGGAGUCUAACAUGUGC